rnacentral:rRNA from 1 species
CGAUAGCGCACAAGUAGAGUGAUCGAAAGAUGAAAAGCACUUUGAAAAGAGGGUUAAAUAGCACGUGAAAUUGUUGAAAGGGAAGCGUUUAUGACCAGACUUUUUCCAGGCGAAUCAUCCGGUGUUCUCGCCGGUGCACUUCGUCUGGUUGAGGCCAGCAUCGGUUUCCGUGGGGGGAUAAAAGCGGUGGGAAUGUGACUCCUCCGGGAGUGUUAUAGCCCGCCGUAUAAUACCUCCAUGGGGACCGAGGUUCGCGCAUUGCAAGGAUGCUGGCGUAAUGGUCAUCAACGACCCGUCUUGAAACACGGACCAAGGAGUCGAACAUUUGUGCAAGUGUUUGGGUGUUAAACCCUCACGCGUAAUGAAAGUGAACGGAGGUGAGAGCCCUUACGGGUGCAUCAUCGACCGAUCCUGAUGUUUUCGGAUGGAUUUGAGUAAGAGCAUAACUGUUCGGACCCGAAAGAUGGUGAACUAUGCGUGGAUAGGGUGAAGCCAGAGGGAAACUCUGGUGGAGGCUCGCAGCGGUUCUGACGUGCAAAUCGAUCGUCAAAUCUGCGCAUGGGGGCGAAAGACUAAUCGAACCAUCUAGUAGCUGGUUACCGCCGAAGUUUCCCUCAGGAUAGCAGUGUUGUCUUCAGUUUUAUGAGGUAAAGCGAAUGAUUAGGGACUCGGGGGCGCUUUUUAGCCUUCAUCCAUUCUCAAACUUUAAAUAUGUAAGAAGCCCUUGUUACUUAAUUGAACGUGGGCAUUCGAAUGUACCAACACCUAGUGGGCCAUUUUUGGUAA